UACGUAGGGGGCAAGCGUUGUCCGGAAUUAUUGGGCGUAAAGAGCGUGUAGGCGGUCCGGUAAGUCAGCUGUGAAAGUCAAGGGCUCAACCCUUGAAAGCCGGUUGAUACUGUCGGGCUAGAGUCCGGAAGAGGCGAGUGGAAUUCCCGGUGUAGCGGUGAAAUGCGCAGAUAUCGGGAGGAACACCGAUGGCGAAGGCAGGUCUCUGGGCCACUACUGACGCUGAGGUGCGAAAGCGUGGGGAGCAAACAGG
rnacentral:rRNA from 1 species